rnacentral:lncRNA from 10 species
AUCUGAGCUGAAAUAGGAGCACUUGUCUACCCAGUUUAUAUAUAAGCACAUUGCUCUUGCCUUUGAAGUUUUCUGUAUGCUGCUUUCUCAUCUUAUUGCUUUCUCAUCUUAUUGCUUUCCCUUCCACGUCCAUGGUGAACAUGAUUUAAAUUGGAACGCACCGUGCUGAUGAUAAAGACGUUGCUCUCAGAUACGCGUAAAUGCCCGUGACCUGACGCGUUUGCUGUGGUCCGCGUCAAAACACGCCGCUCUGUGUAAUUAAUUGCUGCGAGAGGAAGCGGACCAAUGGCGCCUUCUGCUGUGAAACUGUUAAUGGAGAACUUAUGGAGAGAAAGUCAAGUCCUCCUAUCCAAAUUGGAAUGUGAAAGAAAUCUGUUGGAAGGUGAUGACAGAAAUGAAGUAAAACAGUUGUUUCCUGAUCCGCGUGCCAGGUGUGUCACAUACUGUGAUAAAUAAGAUCUGCGUCUUACACUCCAGAAAUUGGGGAAUAUUACAAGCGUUUAUUAUAGUAAGGUACAAAAAACGCACUUGAAAUGCUUUGUUUCUCCUGGCACCAAACAGUGAGCAGUUAUUGCACAAUGCCUGGAGCUGCUAAUUCCUUUGUUUAGGUUUAAGCCAACACGGCCUAUUA